rnacentral:rRNA from 1 species
AGUGAACGCUGGCGGUAGGCCUAACACAUGCAAGUCGAACGGCAGCACAGUAAGAGCUUGCUCUUACGGGUGGCGAGUGGCGGACGGGUGAGGAAUACAUCGGAAUCUACUUUUUCGUGGGGGAUAACGUAGGGAAACUUACGCUAAUACCGCAUACGACCUACGGGUGAAAGCAGGGGAUCUUCGGACCCUGCGCGAUUGAAUGAGCCGAAGUCGGAUUAGCUAGUUGGCGGGGUAAAGGCCCACCAAGGCGACGAUCCGUAGCUGGUCUGAGAGGAUGAUCAGCCACACUGGAACUGAGACACGGUCCAGACUCCUACGGGAGGCAGCAGUGGGGAAUAUUGGACAAUGGGCGCAAGCCUGAUCCAGCCAUACCGCGUGGGUGAAGAAGGCCUUCGGGUUGUAAAGCCCUUUUGUUGGGAAAGAAAAGCAGCAGGUUAAUACCCCGCUGUUCUGACGGUACCCAAAGAAUAAGCACCGGCUAACUUCGUG